rnacentral:rRNA from 1 species
AUUGAACGCUGGCGGCAGGCCUAACACAUGCAAGUCGAGCGGAUGAAGGGAGCUUGCUCCUGGAUUCAGCGGCGGACGGGUGAGUAAUGCCUAGGAAUCUGCCUGGUAGUGGGGGAUAACGUCCGGAAACGGGCGCUAAUACCGCAUACGUCCUGAGGGAGAAAGUGGGGGAUCUUCGGACCUCACGCUAUCAGAUGAGCCUAGGUCGGAUUAGCUAGUUGGUGGGGUAAAGGCCUACCAAGGCGACGAUCCGUAACUGGGCUGAGAGGAUGAUCAGUCACACUGGAACUGAGACACGGUCCAGACUCCUACGGGAGGCAGCAGUGGGGAAUAUUGGACAAUGGGCGAAAGCCUGAUCCAGCCAUGCCGCGUGUGUGAAGAAGGUCUUCGGAUUGUAAAGCACUUUAAGUUGGGAGGAAGGGCAGUAAGUUAAUACCUUGAUGUUUUGACGUUACCAACAGAAUAAGCACCGGCUAACUUCGUG